UACGAAGGGGACUAGCGUUGUUCGGAAUUACUGGGCGUAAAGAGCUCGUAGGCGGUCUGUCGCGUCGGAUGUGAAAACCCAGGGCUCAACCCUGGGCCUGCAUUCGAUACGGGCAGACUAGAGUUCGGUAGGGGAGACUGGAAUUCCUGGUGUAGCGGUGAAAUGCGCAGAUAUCAGGAGGAACACCGGUGGCGAAGGCGGGUCUCUGGGCCGAAACUGACGCUGAGGAGCGAAAGCGUGGGGAGCAAACAGG
rnacentral:rRNA from 1 species